rnacentral:tRNA from 1 species
CGGGAUGUAGCGCAGCCUGGUAGCGCACCAGACUGCAGUUGUGGGGGUCGGAAGUUCGAAUCUUCUCAUCCCGACCA